rnacentral:lncRNA from 1 species
CCUCCAUCUCUAAUGGCAGUUGGCCUCAUUAAGUUUGUUUUCUGGCCUUUAUUCCCUGUGGUGAUGGGGAAACUUGUCUGCAGCCUUUGGAGGAUUUGUUAGCAUGAAGGGGGAAGAGAUUGCUUUGUAAUCUUGAUUCAUUCAAAUGAGAGUGAUAGCUAAAUCUUUUAUGAAUGUGCAAAGUUGCAUAAAUAUUGUGUGAAUGUCAGUUAGGGGUCUGUCUCUCGUAACUAGUGGAUUAUAGUCUACCCUUAAGAUUUAAGCAAUUCAAGUGUUUUAAAUAUGUGAAUGGGUAUGAAGACAUAUCCCUGAACAACACUUUCUCUUUUUUGUUUGUGGUCUUAAGAAUGGGUCUGAAAUAAAGUGUCUAAUUGUGUUUUAACAGUAUUGGUAAGGCAAUUGAUUGUGAAUUAUCAAACUAGUGUGAAGUUUUGUAACUGUCAGCAGUUUUAAUUUUUUAUUAAUAUAGAGAAGUAUGUUGAUACUUAUGAAACUCUAAAGAGUGCAGCAGCUGCUGAUCAGUUAAACAUGAAUCAGCUUGCACAUCAUACCUGUGCACUGCCAAGGAAACCUCCAUGUGAUGUCUCUAACAUCUUGGGUUAGGAAAUCUGUGUGAAUUUAUAAACAUUAAAGGUGUUAUUUAAAGAUCUUGAGAAAUCUACUCUGUUAGAAGAACCCUGAAAAAUUUUACAGUAACAUCACAUAGUAAUUAGCAACUGUUAACUGUAGAAUUUGUUAAAAAUGGAAAAAAAUGACAAAAAACAACUAGCCAACUAAAAGCAAAUAUCAAACAAAAAAUAGCAAGAAAAAAAAAAACCACAAUAAAAACCCCUCCACAAAACAGCACCAGCACCAAACAAACAAAAGCAACAAAAAUCCAAGAACUCUACUUCAUGCCAAAGUACCACUACAAAAUUUCAAGACUUUCUUCAUUAGUGGGUAUAUCAUUUUGGUGCUAAAUAAUCCUCCAAUUCUGUACAUUUAACUGGUAAUAAGCUGUUAAGAGGAGGAGUUUUAAAUGUCAAAGAAGAAGGGCAUUAGGUAGGGGGGAGUAUUUAAUAGGUACUGUGUUGAAGAAAUGUGAGCCGAUGUUUAUUUGCUGGUUUGUUGUCAAAAUUGUUGUUUUGGAGAUGAUUAUUGGAAAUGUGCAUGCAACAAUCCAUCACCACACUCAAUCUCAACUGCUGUAGAAUCACAGAAUGGUUUGGCUUGAAGGGAUCCAAUAGAGUUCAUCUAGUUAUAGCCCCCUGCCAUGGAUAAGGACACUGUCCACUGGUCAGAGUGCUCAAAGUUCCAUCCAUCUUGCCCUGGAGGACCACUGUGACAGAAGGAUCCAGAAGUCAUAAACUUAAAUGAAUUCAGCAGACACUUAUCUCUAUUAAAUUUGAAAGAGUGAGAUCUAAGCAUGACAAAUAGUAUGAGAUAAUGCUUGGAAUUUGUCUUGGUUUGGUUGGGAUAGAGUUCACCUCAGUAGUAGCUUUGAUGGUGCUAUGUUCUGGAUUUGUAACAAAAACAGUGUUGGUAGCACACCUUAGUUGUGGCUGAGCAGAUCUUACCAGAAGAGCCUUUGACUCUAUGUUCUCAGACUGCCCUGCCAUCUAAGGAGGUUGGGGGUGCACAAGAAUCUGUGAGGGAACCAAACCAGGACAGCUGGCCAAACAGAUACCAUCUGAUGCACUCAGUAGUGAAACUGUGUGGGAGUUGAUCUGGAAUUUUAAUGAGUAAGAGAGAAAUAGUAAGAGAGGUUUGGUUUUCUGAUGGUGUUCUGGAACUGGCUUCUCACUGACUUAAUUGAUAAAGGACCCAAAGUGUUGCAAUUAACCAAGAUGCAAGUCCUUAACAUGAUGUGUGUUGUAGGUCUUGCUUCACAAAUACUCACCCACUUUCUCUUACAUGCUUUGUUGAACUAGGUCUGAAACUUAACACGGUAUGAGCCAAGUAUCUGUGUUCUUCCUCAAAUAUAUGAAGAUAUAUGAGAGCUGAGCUCUGCUCUCUGGUGACAAAAAUGGGACCUGAAGGAAAGGCAUGGAGCUGUGUCAGGGGAGGGUCAGGAUGGGUGGCAGGGAAAUGUUCUGCACCAGAGGGCGGUGGGCAUGGAACAGGCUCCCCAGAGUACUCAUCAUGCCCCCAAACUGCAGGAGUUCAAGAAGCAUUUGGACAACACUCUCAGUUAUAGAGUUUGAAUUUUGAGUGGUCCUCUGUGGCACUAGCUGUUGGACUCAAUGAUCCCUAUAAGUGCAGGAUGUUCUAUGAUAAUGUGAUCAGAUAUGUCAUGAUUAAGCCCUAAAAAUUCUUGUUAUUUAGGUAGGUAAUGAGAUGUAACAGGGCCCUGCAGAAAUCAACAAAUCUCAGGCCUCUUCAUCUCGAUGACAUUGCUCAAAUUGAAAAUGUCACCAUCAGAGCAUGAUGCAUGAACAUACUUUUUAAAGUACAUUUCUUAAAAAUGAUUUUGCAUAUUGUCAGAUUUCCUUGGAAUUAUGAUGAAGCCCUACUGAGGUUCAUGACCAUAAUGAAUCAUCAGUUUGCUGAAUAUUCCCAUGCCCUUUGUGCAACACAGAGAAUGUGAUUUGUCCAGAAACCGUAAAAGACAUGUAUUAUUUGAAGACAGAAUGCUCUUUAGAGGCUGAAAUACAGAGAUGCAUAGGCUCUUGAGCUCAAAAUAGUAUUUCAAGGCCUAAAUCUUUGGCCUUUGGAAUAUCUUUGGGAUAGUUGCAGAAGAGUAGGGCUUUUUGGGUGUAAAUGAGGCUGAGGUUUUCAGUAGAACAGCAGCUAGGCUGCAUGCAGUACACUUAGUUGUGAAGAAGGGUGGGUGGAGUAAGAGGAUUUGAGAAAAUUCUAAGGAGUUAACUACCUCCUGCAGACUUGUGAUCCUGCAUUAUUUCAAGCAGUAUUAAAAGCACGUUUUUUCAGUGCCUCUGAAAGGCUCUUUCAGUAGGACGUGGAAGUUGCUAUAAUACCUAAUGUGAAGGUGCGUUUCAGUAUUAGUAGGUAGGAGUUUUGACAGCUUUAAACCUUCCCAAUUUUGGUUUAAAUCUCAAUUUAUGAAUUUUUUAUUUGAUAAAGAAUGUGAUUUGAUUUCUGAGGUGUGUUUUAUGAAAACUUUUUCUGAAGUGUAUUUUCAGCAAAAUGUGGAAAUAGGAGCUGAGAUGGAUUUUUAGACUUUGAAUCUGAAUUCAAGGAUAAAAUCCUAAGUUCACCUUUACUGGAGUACCAGUCAGUAAUACGAACAUUGGAGGGGAAAGAAGUCCAUGUCAGUCAUGGCUCUUGGACCAGCAUUUCUGCUGGAUUUGCUGUGAUUCUUAUUGCCCAUGCUAAUACUGUAGCUGAUGUGCAGAUGUGUAAAAAGACUAUUCCUAUUGCUUUUAUAUUUACUUUCUGAGGGAUGGAUACUGUUGCUUUGUAUUAAUGUAAACUGAGAGUAACUCCUUGAAGUCCAAGUUUUCAACGGUCUGGUACAGAGAUUACCUUUCCUGUGAUCUGUGCAAGUAAGUGAUGAUUGUUCCUGAUGUACAGAAAUAGGCAGCCAUUUCUGCUGUCAUUUCUACAUCUUUAAUUUUGGAAAGUUGCCCUGUGUGCUGACAGCAUUAAUCUGCUAAUUUGCAAGAGACUAGAACUGAGCCACAUCACUUCAAGAACACUGCUGAUUAGUAGUUUAAAUAUUUAUUUUAACCUGGGCAUGCUUGUAAAAACAAGACAAACACAUCAAUUUCCACACUAGUCAAGGGCAGGUUUAAGCAAAUUUAAAUGUACAGUUCACUGUAGCUAAACUCUAUGAUAGAAGCAGAUACAACAUCCAUCAAAUGUGCAGAGCUGUUUUUUUGUUGGUGGUGUUUUGUUUUGUUUUGUUUUCCUCUUCUCUCUUCAGUCUUAUGAUCUCUGAGAACCAUGCAGUUUCUUAUGAAGUCUUUGAGGUCAUCACAAGAUAGAUCUACCUAGCUUUUGAAUUAAGUUUAAUGAUAGAUUGUAAGCUCAUAAUGUACUUUACAUGAACUACUCAUCUUGUUUAUUCAUGUAAAAGCGUAAUGGUAUAAUUCAGUGAGUAACUACAUUAUUUUUUAAUAAUGAAUUAACAUUUCAUAUUGCUGACCAAGGGAAGGGAUUUUUUUUUUUGCUUUGAAAAAAUGCAAUGCAUGCUAAUAGCUUAAAGAUACUAAAAUAGAACUUGGAAGUGUUCUUAAUGGUUAGAUGAUUUAGUUUUUAAUUGCAUUCAGAGGGCAAAAGCUUGGUCUUUGAAUUCAACUGUGAGAUAGCUUUAAAGUUUAGGGUUUUUUUUCCUCUAAAAAUAUCACUUUUCAAAUGACAGACUGCUGUGCUCUGUUUAUCUGUAUUUUGGCAAAUGCAGCUGGCUUAGUAGGUUACACAACACCUUGUUCAGCAUUUAAAGGGGAUAACACAAAAAUCAAGUGAAGCUCAUUACUGAAGCGUACAAAACUCCUAACUUAAAACAUUAUUUGCCUGUCAAGGGGAUACUGUUUUUCAUCAUAGAAUGGCCUGGGUUGAAAAGGACCUUAAUGUUCAUCUAGUUUCGAUACAUGCGGGCUUGCCAACCACUAGACCAGGCUGCCCAGAGCCACAUCCAGCCUGGCCUUGAAUGCCUCCAGGGAUGGAGCAUCCACAACCUCCUCAGGCAACCUGUUCCAGUGAGUCACCACCCUCUGUGUUUUUCUUGAAAUAUCUUUGUGCCUGAGAUGUUUCAAUAUUCAGACUUCAAAAAUAUUAUAUCCUUGCAAAUGAAGGGACUGAAUACAGAGUUUCUUUCAAAUCGGUUUGGGUUUCAUGUGAAAUGCUCACUACUUUCAAUUUAACAAAAAGAGAAGCCUAUAGGAGGGCAUGUUUCCAUCAUAUCAAAUGCACGUUGUGCAGAGGAGAGGGGACACCAAAACCAAACAUCUAUUAAUGUCAUAGAAUCAUAGAAUGGCCCUUAGUUGAAAAGGUCCUCAAAGAUCAUGCAGUUUCAACCCCCCUGCUAUGUGCAGGGUUGCCAGCCACUAGACCAAGCUGCCCAGAGCUACAUUCAGCCUGGCCUUGAAUGCUUUCAGGGAUGGGGCAUCCUCAACUUCCUUGGGCAACAUGUUCCAGUGUGUCACCACCCUGUGUGUGGAAAAGCUUCCUCCUAAUAUCUAACCUAAACCUCCUCUGCUUCAGUUUAAAACCAUUCCCCCUUGUCAUGGAGUAGGCGUUAUAUUUGAACGCUUUGGGCACCGCUGUGCAGUCACUUUCAUCCCUUAUUUUUUCACAAGGACAUAUAUAAUAACAGAUUUUGAGAUGCAUGAGCUCCAUCUUGGAAGGUUUGUGCAAAGGUUUCUCCUUUUUUAUUAGAGAGCUGUUGAGUUUAGGGGGAGGCUGUGGCUAAAGUUCAAGUUUACAAAGAAGCAAGUGGACUAAGUAUGGACCUCUCAUCUGCUGCUGCAGUUCCAAACUCACAGUGAUGGAUUAUUUUUCUGGUGGUUGGCCCAAGUGGGAGGUAGCAUAACUGUUGAUCAAGCUGCAAGCAGUUUGUAGCUUACCUACUAAAUGCCUGUGACAAUGCUUGUAUGAAAUCACUGCAGUUUUGUCUUGUAAAUUUUCAUAGGAAAUUGAUUUUGUGGCAUGGUUAAAGGCUGUUAUGUUCUAUAUGGUCAGGUCCUCUACUGUCAGUUUUUAAGUAUGAGAUUUCAGCCCUGGUAAUGAAAAAGAAUAUCCAUUUACAAAAAUAUGCAUAAUAAUUAACAAACAUUUUGUACUUAUUUUUUAGCAUUAAGUCUACUUUCUUAACUGACUCUUGUUUUCUUCCAAUGUGCUUUGUGGGAGUUUAGGAAGAAGGGUUAGUUCUAUACUUUUGGUGUAACCUUUUCAUGGAGGGGGAAAAAAAAAAAAAGAAGAAUUUGCACAGUGAGUUUCUAGCCCUUAUAGGAAAGAGGGGAAAACAGAAGCUUCGUCUCUUGAAAGGAAACGGGCAGUCUGAGCCAUGAAGGAAUGUAAGUGUUCAAGUCAUCAAAGCACACUUAAAGACAGUGUCUGAAUCACCAGCAAAACAAAGUCAUUCUUCGGAUUUUCAUGGCUGUGGGAGUAUGAAUUUACAGGUGCUUCUCUUUAUGAUCUCAGAUGGGAAUGUGUCGUGUAUGUGUGUAUGCUUUGUUUGAGUAUCAAGUGAACUCCUUCACUAAGGAAUCAUUUUAUCUCCAUCAAAAGGAGCAUAUUUUAGAAUCUGGGAAACUAUUGAUAGCUAUUAUGAGUUCUGAAUUCCUCGUUAUUGUAGAAGCUCAAAUAUCUUACCUGAUGCAAAAUUCAUAACAACGUGACCAAAGCAAUCCAGGUGCUACUAGGUAAAUCACAUUAAUUCUGACCUCACUUAAGAGCACUCAACUGAUUGAUUUAUUUAUUUUCCUGUUGGGAAGAAGGAACGAAUAAAAAAUAAUUAAGCAGGGCAAUCAUUUCCCAGGCUGUCAUCUAUUAAAUAAAGAUGACUUAUCAUACAUGCUAACAUUUGAGGUCAUGUCUUCACUUUCAUUAGGCAGAAGCACCUAAAGAAACAAUACAUGGCUAGAGAAACUGUGAAGAAGUGCCACAUUUGGUUGUUUAUCUGGAAAUUGUUUAGUAGUGGUAACUGCUUACUAGAAUGUCGGAAGAACCCGCAACACUACUUAUUUUUCAGUUCAUUUUUCUCUUAAAUCCAUGUGUUCCAUUUAAAUGCAUGUGGAAAAGCAGUUGGCUCCUAAGCUGUUCAAGAGUGUUGUUGCUAUGAAGGGACUGAAGAACUCCUAGGGUAUUAGGCAUGUCUGCAAGUUGUGUGGAAUGAACAGUGUGUUUAUUUCUGCGCUCCAAAACUACCAUGAAUUUACUGUAUGUGUAGUAUGGUUGUAGGUAGCAGGAAGAAAGUCAAGAUUCUUUUCAUCAAAAGGAGUUUUCCUUUUUGUAUUUUUUUUAAUGGAGAUUUUCUUCUCAUGUUUUAUUGCAGUUCUUUCCAAGGGUACAGGCAACCGAGGGUUUUUACUUUUGGUAUUUAGGAUAGUUUACUGAACCAAGCAAGGAUGUUCCUUUUCAUGCACAUAUUCAUACAGUAGGCAUGUCUCCCUCAAGAGAGUAUUAUGGAAAAUGUUUCCAGAAGGAUCUAGAUCCUUGGGCCUCCUGAAGCCACUUUCUGGCAGUACAGAACAAACCUGUGGCUACCUUCAGCAGUUUUGUGAGGAUUUCCCUGGGGGUGUAUGCAGAGCUGCACUUCAUGUAAAUAAUGAGUAUUACCUUAGCUUUAAUUGGAGCCAUCUAUGUGUGCAGGCAAUAGAGGAAACUUUCACUGUUAGUUUCAGGAUUUGUGAUAGUGCAUUAUAGUCUUAUGGUUGUAAGAAGCUAUCGGGAACAGUCUGUGGUUUCACCUUUUGCUGAAUCAGGCACCUUACUGAAAAGCUGAAGUGAGGAUGCAUGCCAUUGGUUAGCCUGUAUUAGAUUAUCAGUUAACAUUAACCUGCAUUUACAGUUUUCACACUGAAGCAGAGUGCAGCGGAGGAAAUUUACUGUUCUGACAUGCACUUCUGCUUAAUGUUGUUCCUUCAAAGAGCAGUACUUAUCUGCAGGUUGAGGUGCAGUAGAAAUGUUGACUGGCACAAACUACAAUUUUUAUUUCAUGAAGUUUAAAAAGAAAGUAAGAGAAAUAUAUGUUCAGUACCAAGGAUUUGAAAUUAAUUCUGUAAGGAGAAGAAAUGAUUUGUUGAAGAAAAUUCUCCAUUUCAGAAAAUAUAUGGAUGGCUUGUCCAAACAUUUUAUUAUGCUAUGCAACCAAUGUCUUAUUAUUGUGCAGCAUGCUUGUGUAGCACGUUGACGAUGUAGUUAUUCAGUGUUCUUGUAGCUGUACAUGUGUGUUUUUGGUGUGAGAAGGAAAUAUCAUCAUGCAUACCGUAAACAAAAUACAGCAAGACUUGCUGAUAUUCAAUUUCAGAUUAAUGCAUUAUCUUAGGACACGUUUCCUGUCAUUUUUAGUUUUAAAUGUAAGCUCUUCAUAAACCUGUAUUUGUGUAAAAGUAAAGAAGUGCAUGUUAUAGAAGCAUAGCUAGGGAAAGGCUGGAAAUUUCCAUUCAGCCCUAGAGGGGUUGUUUAUUGCUCUUGCCUUGAGUUACUGAGCUGUGUGCAUGAUGCCUGUCUGCUAUAGCUGUCUGCUUUCAAGAGAAGUAGCAUGAUGGGAUGUAUGAGAAGUAAGUUGCUAAGACAGGAGUUAUCCUACUUACAUGCUUUGGUGCUGCCAUGCUGGUUUUACAAAUGUGAUGUGCAUGAGAGGAAAAGCAAGGCUGCUCGUAAUACUCUAGACAAAAUGUCUUGCCUAUGUGCUAGUCUCUAUUUGUAGAGCUGAAGAAAGUCAAAAGUGUUCCAAGAAUGGAAAGAAGUAAAUUCUUCAAACUGUGACACGCGUGAAGUGAAGUUUAUACUGGGGGGGUUGACGUACUGUGGAAGCGCAACGCAAUGCAACUGGUGCAGCAAGGAAGAUUUAUGAGCACAGCAGGGACUUUAAUAGAUAAAUUAAAGAUACUGACAUACUUUCUGGGGGUGAGAUUAGGGUUAUUGGGGUUUCACUAACACUUCAACAACAGGUUCAGAAUGUCUCCUGUGCUGUAAAUUAGAAACGACUCUAUUUUAAUUAAGGCCAUCUGGGAACUCAAAGGACUGAAGACUGGGGAGAACACCAAGGGCCAAGCUGCUUGUUUGCAAGGAAAAAACCUUUAUCUAUAAAGACCAUAAUGAAGAGAAUGGCAUCGUUUAAUAUUAUUUUACAGUUACUAUUUUUUGUGUUGUACAGUUUUACAAAAGUCAGAAAUUUUGACUUGACAGUAUUUGGGGAGAAUAUUGCUUAUUUGUACAUAUUCCCUUUAGAUGUUGAGUAGCACUAAGGAGUGCUAAAUAGCACAGAAGGCUGAAGAUUUUCAACAGCUGCACUUCAAAAAGCAUACAGUUAUAAAAGUUGGUUCAAACUGAACCAGUGGUUGUCUUUCUUUUUUUGUGUUUCACCUUGGCAAAGUAAAAGCAACGCUUCACUUGACAUGAAGUGGAUUGUCUGAUUAGACACAGUACUUCAUUUCUGGUGCUCUGUGGAGAUGUAAAUAGAAAGGGAGACCUAAACUUCUGAGAAGGUGUCUGCUUUCAUCUGAUAGCCCAAGCUUUGUAGUCUCUGCCCUGGAUGUGCUAGAUGAAGCCCAGAUUUCCCACAUAUCCACAGCACUCUGAGCUGGAGGGUAAAGAAGGAACAAUUCCAACCUUUGAGGAACGUUUUAUGACACUAGCUCUUUGUUUUUUGUUUUUUUUUUUCCCAGAUGAAAUUAGUCAGUGAAUUUGACCUGUAUUCAUUAAUCCUUUCAAGAUGACUGAAAACCGCAUGUUUACUGAAGUAAACUGUGUCUGCUUGAAGUGAAUGCCCUUGUCUUGAAUGUUAAUGGAGGAAAAAGAGAAUAGUCACUGCUAUGGAACAGUCUCUGCCUUACAAGAUCCAGCACUACUGUUGUGCUGUUAGCAGUGGAAAUUGGACUGGACAGCGUUUUGUCCAAAUUCUCACAUAUUCUCUAGAGUAGCACGGGAUAUAUCUUCUGCUGAAAGCACUGUGCUGUUGAGAGAUUAUUUUCUUUAUUUAGGUUCAGUAUUUUCCUUGCUCUUCUACAGUUGGUAACUUCAUUGGUAUUCCACAAGAUUGUCCAUCUGUUCUUAGACUCUUUUUUUACUUAUUUAUUUUCCUGAUUGCAUGGUAGGAUCAGAUUCAUGCACUACGCUGAUUUAAAGCAGCUGAAUUUUUACCUCCUCAAUCAUGGGCUACUUAGUAUAUUUCCCUAAUUUGUACUUUAAACUUACCUUUUGAUUAAUGCUGCUACAAAAUUUGCAGGUGUCUUCAGUUGUCUGCAUGUUUUAGUUCAAUGGAUAGGUACAACGUUACACGAACUGAUGUGCAGAUGUAUGACUGUUAUGAACCUACACAGCACGUGUGUAUGCAUGUCCCUGGAGUUAGCUAAAAGUACAUGAUUAGUUCUGUGAUGAGGGGGAGAAAAAAUAAAGUUGGAGCCGACCUCCUCAUUACAUCAGGUGGAUAGUUUGUUCAAGGUAUAAACACACCUGGAUACAUUCAUGACGUAACCUAGCACUGUGAAGAUGAUAUAUAUUUCUUCUCUUCUUCCUUCAUGUGAAAUCAAUUUAUGUACUUUUAAAACAUUUUAUACAUAGUCUUGCAUGUAUUUUCCUUUGUUAGAUCAAUGAGAGUCAGAACUAACUCCACUGAAGUCUGUCGCACAACUUGGAGCAGAGGAUGAAUCUUAAUUAACUGUUUUUUCUCUGGAAUGGAAGUAUACCAUCAUCUCUCCACAGAGUGGUGGCAGGAACACUGUAGCUAGACAGCAGGUGAACUUCCUGCUGCCUCUCAGGCGGAGCAGAAUAGCUUUCCUUCCUAUAGCAGUGUCUGGUGGUAGUUCCUGGUAGAAGAUUUUUGUAGUGUUUGCACUUUGUCACAGAGCGCUUGUGCCAGUAGCAGUAUGUAUGCUUGUGUUUUCAUAGUAAAGAUGUAGGUAAACUUAGUACCUUGUGUACCUAAUGUGAGACAUGCAAAUCCAUAUUUAGACACUUAUGUAAGCAGCUAAUUCCCCUUUGAAGUCAAUAAGAACACUUUGAAAAUGUAGCUUUUGAUGUAUGCUGAAAUGCCUAAUGUUUGGCAUCUGAAGUCUGGCAGUAUAGUUCGUAGUGCCAUUGACAUCUAUAGCAUAUAUAUAUAGGAUCAAAGGUUCUGACUGCUGGAACUUGCUGAAAUAGAUGCAGCAUGGAAGACAGUAUCUGAGCUCCAGAUUCUUUUAUCAGCAGUGUAAUCUUUAUAAGGACAUGAGUUUUUUUUCAGAAGCUUUUUUUUCUUCAGGGGAGGUGUCAAAAGGGGAGCUGUGCGUUGUUGGCAUUGGAAGCCCGCUUGUGCUUUGUGUUGCCCUUUAAGGAGCAGUCCAUCCAUACAUAAAGGAAUGCAGUGCUGACAAGUUCAAUGGAGUUGGGCUGAACUUCUCAAGAAAAUGCAGUUGGGGAAAAAAAAGAAGUAAUAAUAAGAAUGCAAAGGCUUUUGAUUUCUUGCAAAUAUUUUUAAAAACAUGUUUCUUGUGUUUUGCUUUUUGUCUGUUACUGGUUAUGACUUAAAGGCAAUCCUUUUUUUUUUUUUUUCCCUUUGUUUUAUUUCAUUUGGUUGUAUAAAAAUUAUGCAGUAAAUUCUGUUGCAAUGAAUUCCUCUUGGCUCAGUGCAGUGAACACUAGUAUGAUGCGUGGUCCAGAAGGUAUCCUGAUUUGAAUUUAAUAAAUCAGUUCCUCUGAUAUAGCUAGGAUAUGUAGAAACUGAGACAUGUAUGGAGAAUGAUAACUUCUGUUUUACUGUCCUGUGUGAUAUGGCAGAAUGAUGUGACAGUAGCUUUCUCAUCUGUUACACUGAGUGUAUUUAUAUCUAAUAUCUUUUCUGUGCUCAGAAGACUGAAUUACCACUAUCUGGGGAAUGUUGAUAGGUCUUUUUCAAGAAAAAGUGUGCAAUUGUAGAAUAGAAUAGAAGUCUACUACAAAAUGCAAGCUCCAUAAAACUGCCAUUGGUGCAGUGACGUAUUUGAUGGAGAUGCCAUUGAAUUCUGCUGUUUAAAUCUUGUUGAACUGCUUUUAAUUAUAAUGAAAGCACUCAGUAUUUCUAUUAAUUCAUGAUUGUAAAUACAAUUUGGAAUGAACUGAAAUUGCUUUGAAAGAAUACUCUGAUAAAUGGCAUAUGUGUGUACUUGUGUACUUAUUCUUUUCUGAUAUGAAAUGAGAAAAUAGAGUUCAAUUCACACAUAAUAAAUAACAUCAGAAUAUAUUCUUAAAACAUUUUGUUUUUGAUAAAACUACACAUUUGUGUCAAUAUAUUUGAUCUAUGCAGAUAAAUGCUUUAUCUGUCCAGUACGAUAAACUUUUUAUUGUUUGCUAGGAAAGUUUUAUAAUCUUCUUAGUGAAGUAUUCUAACUUAUUAAAAUUAUAGUGUUGGCCAAAAGCAUGACUGAAAAUAAACUCAGCUCAGAGGUUGUCCAGUCAACCCUUUUCAUGCUGUUCUCAUGUUUUCCAUGCCAGAAACAGUUAUGUCCUGGUGGAGUCCAGCUAAUAUUAAAGGGUCAGCCGUUAACCAUGAGGUGAUCUUGCCCAGGCCUGGUGGAAAGGGCACCUGCCUUAUGGUUGGUGGAGCAUGGGAGAGAGGUCAGGGAAGAUGGAGGGGAAGAACUGGCUUGAUGAGUCUGCUUUUGGAAAAGGUAGGGAAGUAUUUUUUCUGGUAUUACGUAAUAUUAAUUACAAAUUUUUUAGUAAAUACCUGAAGCCUCUAUCUGUUCACUUAAAUAGAUGAGCCAGCUUCUCCAGUGUUUUGAUUAAUAUAUGUAGAUAGGUAAGCUCACAUAUACUGGAACUAACUGAAGGUGUCUCAGCUGUCAGGGUGAUGAUCAGCUCAUGGCAGGGCUGCCUGGGCUGUGGCUGAGGGGCACAGGGGCCAGCAGAUGGGAAGGCCUGGAAAAGGGAGUAGGAUUUUGGAGUGGGAGAGAAUGGGAGCGGGACUCAGUGUUAUGCACCAGGCUUUGUAGAGCCUGUGUGCCUUGUCUAGUGCAUCUUCCUCCUUUGGUCCUCCUUUGCUUCUUUCCAGCCAGAGAAACACAGGCUCUUUGCUCCGCCUAUAAGGACUGGCCUGCCUCCUCCUCCUUCACCUCACAAGAAGGACCGCCUGCACCACCUGCUUCUGGGCUAUUGGGGAAAGAAAGGGCUGGGAGAAGGAAGCCAGCAAGUCCCAUUGCCAGAGAAGGGGCUUUCUGCUCCUGCAGUUGCGGGGAGGGGAGUAAGGAAAACUUGUUUCUCUUGCUCGAAGCACUCUUUGUUCCGUGCAUGCUGCCCAGUUCCUAGUGUCUGUUAGCAGAUAGUGUAACAUUGUCUAUCUUCUCAGGCGCAGGUAGAGCAGGCAAAGUGCUGUCUCUUCAGGCUGCUCUUAUAGACAGACAGACGCUGUGCUUGUGCUUUAAGCUGAAUCUGAUACUUACAGGGGGGAAAAGAAUACUGAAAGAAAAUAACCUUGUAGCUUUACCAAAAUGUUCUCAAAAUCUGUAGCUGUACCGAGUUUAAAUUGCAUCUAUGUUCCUACCUGACAAAUGGCAAUAUUACCAUCUGUGCAAUUUGCCUUCAGGCCGUGCUGCAGAAUGGCUUUAGUACUAUGAACUGUGAAUCAUCAGAUGUUAGCACUUGUAGCUCUCUGGUUACUCUGAAGUAGUAAUAACCCAGAGGAGCUGUUUGUGAGGUCUUAGGAAAUCACAGCAUCUCAAUCUACAGCCUCUCUCUUCCAUGUAGUGAAAGACUAGACAGACUGUUUCACUGUUACACUGUUAAAAAGAUGCAUUUUCUUUUUGAAUGGACUACAAUAAUCAGGGGAUUACUGGAAGCCUUGGAGUAAAAAACCUAAGAAAUUUUUUCAACAGCUUGUUUUCAUAAUGUACUGUCAGAAUUGAUUUUAUCCACUGUUCAUUCUUAAUUCAAAAAUGAUUUAUGACUGGGUCCCUCCAGCUUUUAUGCUGUAGUAAUGUUCAUCUAAACAGUCACCUCCAGCAAACCCGAGUUUUUAUUAUCCCUAAGAAAUAUACCAUAUUUAAAAUAAUUUUUAUGCCACUAUCUGGUUACCAGUCCAAGAAACAGAGGUAUUGUUACUGUACUCCCAGAACCGUGAUAAGAGUUGUAAGUAAAACAGAACGCAGUGCAAGUUGUUCCUUUCUUUUCAUGACUGGCCCAGGUCAUACUGAUGCAAGCUUAAGGCUUUUUCAGACUGCCAAUCUUAACUUACGUGGAUCUGAAAAAAUACCAUGCCUUUCUUUCUAGUGAAAAUGCUGAACUAUGACACGCAACAAUUUUACCAUUUACUCAUUUGAUUGUUGUCUGGUAGUUUAUUUCUGUCAUUCCAAUUCAACUAAAUGUUUUUAAUUCUUUUCUGGGGCAGGGAAUAUUGAACAGGAAGGAUAUUAAGUGUCAUGGGUCAUGUUAUCACUUACUACAAAUUGGAGUAAUGUUACUGAAGUCAGAGCACUGAUUUACACCUGCUGAACAUGUUUCCAUAACCUGAGUACUGUGCAUAAGGGCAACAGCUCCUCCAGUACAUUUCUUCUAGUUCUUAUAAUUAAAUUUUAAUUUUCAGGUGUCAGCAAGGGGAAUUUAUGCUUGACUAUAAACUAAUACUCAUGAGCAACCACUUAUUUUGCAGGAUCUUUUCACUGUGGAGAAAACUGUGAUAGUUUAAGACGGACAACCUUGAGUUGCAUAGUUCAGAGUAGAAAAUACUUGGGGGGCAAAAAUGUUUGGUUGUGGUUGUUGUUCUUGUUGUUUUUUUUUUUUAUGUAUUCGUUAUUUGUUGUGAACUGGUUCACUUGGUAAAGAAUUUCAUAGGAUGUGUACAACUUAUUAACUUCCAGAAUUUAUGGAAUGUGUGGGUCCAGUGGGCAGAGAUGUCUGUUGGCAGAGGAAAUUUAUGGCUCUACUGUGAAUUUCAAAUCCCAGUGCCCUGCCAACCUCAGCAUCUCAGCAGUCAGGAGGUAACUGAGCUUUUUUUGAAGGAAAAUCAGGUUGAGAUGUCCCUUACAUAUUUUUUUCAAGUACUGAACUAAAGCUUUUUUUUUUGUCAAACAAUCCAAAAUGUAGCUGGUUUUAUAUAGACACAAGGCAGCACUACGACAAGAUGAAAAGAGGGUGCCAUGCCAAGAGUUUAGGUGCUUUGAAAAGACUAAUUUCAUGCUGAGUGUGCAUUCAAAGCAGUUAUAGGCAUUUUUUUAAUGUGUUGUUCUACAAUGACACCCUUUAUUUUGAAACAAACUGCUCAAGAACUUACAUGUGGAGUAGAGUAAUAGUUUUUCAAAUGACUGAAAAAUGACAGGUUUCACUAAGUUUUUUCAAAUCCUUUACUGAGGGAGCAGCACAUAGAGGAAGUUCCAAAGACAUAGUGAUAUCCUGGAGGUGUAACUACUGUUCAGAAUAACAUCCUAAAAUGUGCAAAUUGCCUUUAUAAAUUCAGCCUGAUAGGGGUGCCCAACAGCCCAAGAAGCAGUUGGUGUGUAGCAGUCAUGCUGUGUGGUCUUUCUCACUAUAGACAUGCACACACACCCUUUGGAACAACAAGAUCUGAAGGUAGAUCCUGCUAACCCUAGCAUUCAGGCAAGUCCUGAGUGUUGAUGAGAUACCAAAAGGAGUGAAACAAUAUUCUGCCUUGACAGAACAACCUAAAGACCAGGUUGGUUUUAUAACAGGAAUAUGCCACGCCUUCUCAAAGGUUACUAAACACAAGGCAAAUUCAGGUUCUAAAGGACGUUGUCUCAAUUCUGGUAUAUAUUGUAUAUCAGAUCCUACAACUCUUGAAUGAGCCCAACAUAGAUUUGAUCCUGUGCUUUCAUGCUGGUGUAGUGAAGGACAGACAUAUUGUAUUCUUCAAAGAGCUGACUGUAUUCACGUAUAAUACCCUAGGUAUCUGGGACAUAACAGUAAAGUGGGGAAAACUGCAAGGUGAUUUCUAUGAACCUUGAGAAAACUUGCUGUUGAUAGCUGUGGUUUCUUUCAUAAUCAGGCUAGCCAGUUGAAAAAUAGCUUAUGUGUAUCUAAACAUGCCAUAGCUGUAUUGUAAGGGUGAAGUCACUCUUGGAUCAUUAGAGUCAUUUAGCUUCUUGCAGAGCUGAAUGAGCAUCCAGAGUUAUGAAGAGAGCAAGAUUCUACUUGAGAGGCAUUUGUUACUCUAGAUCAUGUUCUGAGUAGAU